rnacentral:rRNA from 1 species
GACGAACGCUGGCGGCGUGCUUAACACAUGCAAGUCGAACGGAUCACCUUUGCUUCGGUUUUGGUGGUUAGUGGCGAACGGGUGAGUAACACGUGAGCAACCUGCCCUUCACUGGGGGAUAACUGUGGGAAACUUCAGCUAAUACCGCAUGUACACCUUCUAUCGCAUGGGGGUUGGUGGAAAGUUUUUUCGGUGGGGGAUGGGCUCGCGGCCUAUCAGCUUGUUGGUGGGGUAAUGGCCUACCAAGGCUUUGACGGGUAGCCGGCCUGAGAGGGCGACCGGCCACACUGGGACUGAGAUACGGCCCAGACUCCUACGGGAGGCAGCAGUGGGGAAUAUUGCACAAUGGACGGAAGUCUGAUGCAGCAACGCCGCGUGCGGGAUGACGGCCUUCGGGUUGUAAACCGCUUUCACCAGGGGCGAAUUUGACGGUACCUGGAGAAGAAGCACCGGCUAACUACGUGCCAGCCGCCGCGGUAAAAC